rnacentral:misc_RNA from 1 species
UUUCCGUAGGUGAACCUGCGGAAGGAUCAUUGUAGGAUUGUUUUGGGAGGGGUGGUUGUGAUUUGUGGGGAUUGUGUGUGGUUGUUUGGAUUGCUUGGAUUGCCUGGAUUGCCUGGCUGUCUGCAACUCGACUCGUCUCAUCACAACCACUCUUUACAUUGGCACAGACCAGUGGUCUGGUGUUUGGAGCCACAGACCACUGGUGUCUGAUGUUUGCGCUUGCUCGUUUGACAGAAACAAUACCAUAUCAUAUUAUCAUUGCAAAACUUUUAACAAUGGAUCUCUUGGCUCUU